GCUUCCAUUGAUUUACAUUGCUAAUUUGCCUUUCGCCAAGUAGUCUUUGACUUAAAUAUUCUACUCUUCCCCAACGCGGUGUCCGUGUAGCCGCCCGCGCUUAUUCAUAAACAUUUAUCUUCCUAAGAAACAAUAACUCCACCCAACCCAAACCCCCCUCCUUUUAUAAAUAUAUAUAGAAAGCCCUCCAUCAACCCAUACCUAUAUUCUCUCAUUCUUUUCCUUCUAUCAUUUCUCCUACUUUGUUUUAUCAAUAUCUACACAUACCUUUCUUUUGUUUCUUAAGAGAGCUUUGUUCAAAGAUGAGUUCAAGUGAGCCUGCAGUUGCAUAUCCUCCACCUUCAACCGCGCCAACUUAUUAUGUAGCUGCACCACCGGCUGGUUAUCCUACAAAAGAUGGCUCCGGAUACUCUCAAAAUCCUCCUCCUCCGGUGGAAACCAAGUCUAGGGGUGAUGGGUUUUGGAAGGGAUGGUAAGCCUUCUCUCUCUCACUCUCAUUUAUUUAUCUAUUCAUUACCUUUUGAUUUACAUAUUAUGUACAUGUUUAUUUUAUGCAUAGAUGACAUGCAUAAUAAUGAUCUGUCUAUUUGUUUGCUAUAUGCAGUUGUGCUGCCUUGUGUUGCUGCUGUGCGCUGGAUGUAUGCUUCUGAGGGUUAAGAGCGUUUUAGAGGCCUGAGGCCAUUGUUCUUUUAUUUGAUCUCACCCCUUUUUUGUUGUCAAUAAAAUAUUUAUACAGAGUUUGUAUUCUUAUGAAGGGAGGAAUGGACCAUUGGAUAUUUGUCCGGUUCUUUAUCUUGACAUAGUUAUCAUUACUUUGUUAUUAUCGCAUUGUUUUCGUUUUAAUUAGUGCCUUAGUGGUUGAUUUGCUGUCCUUGUAUUGUUGUUGUAAUUAAUAUUAUAAUACAAUUGUUUUU